ACGAUAGAGUUAUCUUCUUCUCUAAUUCUUCUUUCUCCUUCGCCUUCUUCUCCUUUCUUCAUAUAUUUUCUUCACUUCUUCUUCAUCACGUCUUUCUAUCAUCUUCUCCUCCGCCGCAACAUCAUUUCUCACUCGACAUCGAUCCAUGGUCUGCGUUUUUCACUGGAUUCCCCUUUACCAGCCUUCUUAUCAUCUAACUUACCACUAGAUUUACUGGAGAAAGAUCGUUGGCUCAUAUUUCUUUACGGGGAAGACUACAAUUGUCACCAUCGCCAUUCCCGAUCUCAUCGCUUGGAAGAGAGUAGCGGCGGCGAGUGUCCAUAGCCCUAAUUUUUUUAGUGGACUUGGGUCUGUAAUUUUAUUUGGACCUGGGUUUGUAUUGGGUUCGGCCCAUUAGCUAUUGGUUUUGUAACUGUAAAAGCUGUUAAAUUGAGCCUUUUAUCUUUA